CCUACGAGAGGCAGCAGUGGGGAAUAUUGCACAAUGGGGGCAACCCUGAUGCAGCGACGCCGCGUGAGUGAAGAAGUAAUUCGUUAUGUAAAGCUCUAUCAGCAGGGAAGAAAAUGACGGUACCUGAGUAAGAAGCCCCGGCUAACUACGUGCCAGCAGCCGCGGUAAUACGUAGGGGGCAAUCGUUAUCCGGAUUUACUGGGUGUAAAGGGAGCGUAGACGGAAGUGCAAGUCUGGAGUGAAAGGCGGGGGCGCAACCGCCAGACUGCUCUGGAAACUGGAAGGCUGGAGUGCAGGAGAGGUAAGUGGAAUUCGUAGUGUAGCGGUGAAAUGCGUAGAUAUUAGGAGGAACACCAGUGGCGAAGGCGGCUUACUGGACUGUAACUGACGUUGAGGCUCGAAAGCGUGGGGAGCAAACAGGAUUAGAUACCCCUGUAGUC
rnacentral:rRNA from 1 species